rnacentral:lncRNA from 1 species
CAUUGCACUCAUUAUCUCCCAGUUGUAUCUGCACUUUCUAUUAGGCACGAUGAAAGCAGGUUGUUUAGAGGAUUAUAUUCGACAACAUAAUGCAUUUUUAUCCAACAACAUAUGGCAUUCAAAUGGUUUUUAUUUUCAGCUACCCUUUAAAGUUUUGUCUAAAUGUUGAUGAAGAUAAGCAGAGUAGACUCAUGGAAAUUUCACUCAUUAAUCUAUUAAUUUCUUCAAAUAACAAAUGCAAUAACGAAUUUGAUCUUUGUUUGUUUCCCUGUUCUUCUGGCAAUGUAACUCCUCGAUAAUUUCAUGCUCAGAAACGAAACCUAACUCCAUCAAGAUUUGGAGGAAGAUAAAUUAACAAAAGGAGCUAAAUGAAAAACCAGUAUAAAAGAAAUACAAUCAAUCAUAUGAAAAUUUGGCUACUAGUGGAUGAUACUGAACUAUUUAAUCGCUUGCAAAGACUAAAAGGACCAAGUCGAAAGAAGAAACAUAAUAUUUGAUUUUUCUUAUUCAAAAUAGAUUGACUGACUAUAUUAGAAUUCACUUACUAAAAGGCCAUAUGACGCAUGAAAUAGUAGAAUAAUUUGAUCAAGAAACAAAAGAAAAGGAAACUAUAUAUGAGGAACAAGUAACAUCCUAAACCUCCACAUGAAAUCCUUUUAAGAUUACAGAACAAGUGAAGAGCGAACUAAUUUCUAAUAAGUACAUAGAAAAUAUAAUCUAAGCACUUCAUGUAAUCAGUUCUUUCAAUAAUUCUGUACAGAGAGUUACAGAUAACAAAGUUCCGCUUUGGAGAAGUCAAGAGCAAAAAAGCUUACAUGAACCCUCCUAAAAUUCGAGUAAACUCAUCAUCUUGGACUUGAAAGUUAUGAGGAAUACGAUGAAAACCAACCUGAUCGCAGCAAUUCGGGAACUUUGCGAUCAAGCACAGGUUCCACAGGCAUAGAAAUUCCUAGACAGGUAAAAUUACAUCCCCUUGUUCAUAGAUUCAUAGAUCUAACAAGAUCAAGGGGAUCGGAAUCCCACUUCUCCAAGUCAAUUCAACGAUCCGAACGAAAAACCAGUCUAUCCUCCUCGGAGAAGAAGAUCAACCAGAUCCAGAAGAAAACAUCACGAAACUUCAAGAAUCUACCGAUGACAAGACUAGAUGAUUCAGAUCGAAAGAUCCAGCCACGGAUCGUGCUUAAUUCUAUACAACCCAUGGAUUCGAGCAUGGCAUAGAUAUGCGGGGACGGUAUCAGCGGGAAGUCAGAUUUCUUUACCUC